AUUUCUUUGUCAUUUUAUUCACCUCGACAUAAAAGCUAGACACCCUCUCCACAUUUCUCCACCGGAUACAUCGAGUCGUCUUUCCUCGGCAACAUCUUCUGCGCUGAAGAGUGUUGUUGCUAGCUGAACUUGGGACUUUUUAAAAAUGAUUAUUUAUGGUGAACUCUCCUUGCAGGACAUUUCCGGUUUUGAAGUGUCACCCGAGGUUAUGAAUCAACCCCCACAACCCCCAAACCCCACUCCACCACCACAUUUGGCCCUUUAAAAACGUUCCGAAGGCGAUCAGGUCUUCUGCUAUUUUGGGGGAAAUUAAACACCCCUAUCUGUCCACAAUGAACUUUUCCAAAAUGUUAAGAAAAAAGAGAGAGAGAGAGAGAGAAAAGCUUUUGUGGGGGGGGGAAACUAAUUUUGCAUGUUCCUUCCGCCCAAUCCCCACUCAUGAUAGGAGCUUACCUCAGAGUAGUCAAUUAUCAAAGCUCCCCCAAGAUCAUCAAUCAUGUGAGAAGAUUGAAGUUUAGAGGAGGAGCAACGCUCCCCGGCCAUCGAUUCCAAUGAAACCCCCCUUCUACUUUUUUUUUUUCUUUUUUCUUUUUUUUUUUUUUUUUUUUUUUUUUUUUUUACUUUUAACCACAAAACAGAAGCAGGCCAUCUAUCCCUUUUAACAUUUAGCUCCAUCAGUGCUAACAUGCCUUCGUGGCCGUAUUGAUAGGUCCAACGCAUAAAGGCUCCAUUUGGAGCUCGGUGACAUUUUUUGAUGGUGAAAAUUAAUUAUUCACAGGUUAGGAUUAAGCGCUCAGGGAGAUGGGCUGUGGCUACUGUUGGAGGGUCAACAACUCUCCCAGCAAACAAAAAAUGCCCAGCCAGUGCUGCAUACGGGGGGCCGAUUGCACAGACGGCGGAGUUGAGCAACAAAGGAAAAUGAUUUAAUAAAUGAAACCCGUGACAACAGUUAUGUUUGUUGGCAUAAAGUGAGGAGGGGUGGGGGAGGAAGGUGGGGUGUGCAGGACUGCAGGCUUUGACAAACGGCUGUAUGUGUGGACAUUUCAACGCGCAAUACCCCGGGAAGGAGCUGCAGAGUUGCGCGCAGAGAGAGCCAGGGCGCUCACCGUCUCCAGGUCUCUGUGUGCGCUCUGUAAACACAGCCGGUCCGGCGCGCCGUGCAGCUUGAAGACUCUGAUUCUCAUAACCUAAAUACUGCGGGUCUCAUUGAUUUCUGUGCUAACGGUUGCAUUUCUUAUUUUUAUUUUAUUUUUAUUUUUUUCAACCUCUAUCCCUUUGGAUGACCCAUGGUCCUUCCAUGCCUGCAUUGUCGGCUGGUUUCCUCCAAGGAGAUCGCCGGGAAGUCAGCCUGAACGCAGCUGCAUUCACGUGGAGCGACGCGUUUUGAUAUUCAGGUCACGCAGGGGAGCAAACACUGCGCUCCUGUUCAAUAAACAUCAUUGAUAAGGCUCCACAUCCGGCCAUUUACAAAUACUGACGUUAACACUACCAGCAACAGCAGUUCAUAUUUUUGAACGCUCAGAUUUGUCAUUUUCAGAUCUAUUUAACUAAGUUUAUUUAAAGUGAAAUUUCAAAAAUGCUUUUAGCUUUGGAGGUGUCCUUUAUGUUGUGUCCACAUUAAAGUCACAGAAAGUUGA